UCAAGCUAUUUACUCUGUGCUUAAUCUGCCGAGAUUGCUGCGAGUGGGGGCGGGCUUGUUUGCAGUAUUUUGCUUUUUGUCGCCAUGGUGAUGAUGGCUUCAGAAAGCCUACCUGGGAGAUUGGUUGGAGAUUGUUCUUAGAAGUGAAAUGACUUCAUGUUAGAGUCAAAUUAAAGUGUGUCCGAUUGUGGCUGAACUGAUCUAUACGAGCUCGGAAUGUUCUACCACAGGAUGGCACAAAGGUGCCUGUGAAUUCAAUUCUGCUUUGCUCGUAGAGUAUUGCACCUUCUCAGAAGAGGGGACGCCAAGCUGGGUGAUUCAGUGCCAGUAUCUCCCAUGUCGUGCAAUCGAUUCUAAAAUUUUAAAGAAAUACCUUGAAAGUGUCUUUGUAUUGUUUUUCUGACUACUUUGUGAGUGCUUGCCAUAUGUGAUGGCAAAUCAUAUUUGGAUGAUCAUUGGAUGAUCAUACAUUUGGCAUUACAAUGUGACCAGUUCAAAAGAGUUGCGCUUUCUGCAAUAGAGUAGGAAUACUUGGCAAUUUAGUUAGAGAAAGGACCUCAGAGUGUGGUAUCUUAUCCUGCCAAGGAGAUCUUCAGAAUCUUCCUGCCAAUUCAGAUGGAAGCGAUUCUGUUUCCUGGCAUGGUGCUGGUAUACUGUCCAGGUUUUACAGGCAUACAACAAUGAUGUCAGCCUAAAGGUUCUGUAGACCUUCAGUUUGGUAGUCAGUCUGACUACCUCUCCCACACUUUCCUUUGGAGCUUCCCAAACACGCAACUAGCUCUGGGAAUAUGUGUGUCAAUCUCAUUCUGUCAAGGGAAGAAAACUUACCCACUGCAUUCAAAACUUCAUCACUUGCUGUAACUGAUGGUUCUACAUAUGGAUGUUGUAGUGCUGGCUGAUGAAGGACCUGUGUUUUCUUGGUGUUGAUUGUUAGGUCAAAAUUAGCUCAAGCAGCAGAAAAUCAACCCAUGCUUCCUUGCAUCUCAGCUUCUGAGUCUGCAUUGCAUGCAUAUUCAUCAGAAAACAAAAAUGUCAUACACCACCACUUCCUCCACUUUAGUUUUGGCUUAUAGCCUUUCAAGGUGAAGAAAUUUACCCUCAAUGCUGUAGCUAGUUUUGAUUCCAUGUUUAUUUUCAUUGAAGGUGUUCGACAAUUCACACCUGGCAAGCACUCAGAAGGUGGUCAGAGAAAUCGAUGGAAAUUGAUACAAAGACAUUCUCAAGAACUUUAGAAUGGAUUGCAUAUCAUGGUAGACACUGGCUCAAGACUACCCAGCAUGGUGUGCCCUCAUCAAGAAAACAGGGGAGAUUGCAAAUCCUACUACCACAAAUUAUGCACUUGAGUUUUCUGCAUUUGGGGAAAUCGCAGGGAUCAGCCCAUCUGAAGUGCAAUGGAUAAGCCUCACCCUGGGGAAACCACCUUUGUAAUCAUGGAAUCGCUCCUGCCAGGUAAGUAUACUUAGCACCCGAUGCUAACCUUCUCCCUCCAUAUGCUCAAACAUCACACACACCAACCUCCAGCCCCGCAAACUACACAAUACAAAAAGUAUUUCAAUCAUAGCAAUAUAGUAACUAUGUAGCUCUGACAACUCAGAUCUAUAUUUUCCAAAGGGAGUAAACUAAAAAGGAAAACUUAGAUAAGGAAAUGAGUUGGAUUGUGCCUGCUUUGACUGAUUUCAAUAGGAUGAAAUCAUAUUUUUUUCCUUUGAUCUUACUUUUUAUUCUUUUUUUUUUUUUGGCCAAGCCCAUCAGAAAUUGCAGAUCCAAAUGAGUUUUCCAGUUUUCUCUAUUCACCUCCCACAUUAACGAAUCUGUUCCAGCACAAGUCACACUUUUCUCAGGAAGCUUUUUCUAUUCCCACAGUCCCAAAACUUGACAGUGAGGUCUGAGAUCAGGGCAUCACCCUCACCUGGACUGUUGAAAUAGCUUCUUGUUUGGUUCUCAUCUAUCCCUUCUCCAUCUAUCCAUCCUCUACCUAUCACUCAAACUGAUUUUUCUGAUUUAUGGCAGUCCUCUAUCCUGGUAAACUCCUUUUAGCUUUGGGAUAAAAUAGAAACUCCUCUGUUGGCAUUGAAAUUUCUUCACAAAUUCUAUCUUUCCAGCCAUAUCAUACAUCAUUCUACUUUCUGUUUUGUAAAGUUUAGCCAGGUUAGUCUUCUUCCUUUUGCUCACCUAGGACAUUCCAUAUGCUCUUGCUGGGCCUGACUACCAAAACUGGAAUGCAUUUCCUUAUCACCUCCCUCCCUUAGUUUGUUUUGAAAGUUAGAUGAGACAUCACAUUCUACAUAAACCUUUUUCAGGGCAAACCUUUGCCUUCCUUCUUCCCAAUUUUUAAAAAAUUUUUGCAUCAUCAAAAACUUGAUAAAUAUCAAUGAAUAUAAACAUUUCCAUAUACAAACAAGAAACUACAAAGAUUGCCUAUGUAACUUUGAAUUGCUGCUGAAACUUUUUUUUUUAAAAGUAGGUAACAUAUUUAAUGCUCCUUCCAAUGCUGUUUUGCUUGUCCGAAUUUCUUUAUAUUCUCAUCUUUUUUUUUUUUUUUUUUAAUGUUUCAUUAAUGCUCUUUCCUUCUUCUUUUGGUAUCAUUAUCCCUAGGCAACCUGACCUCCCAAAUCCAUCCUUUAUAUUAAAUAACCUUAAACGAAAGUAAUACUUCAUACAUUGAACAUGUUUGAAAAUCUAUGAUCAUUCUGAGCCUCUCUAUUAUGAAAUAGAAAGUCCUUUCUCCCCAAAUAACCUGUUGUUAUUUUUUAAUUGCAUUUUAUUUUUAAAAAUACCUGCAAAGAUAGUUUCCAACAUUAAUUUUUGUGAAAAUUUGUGUUCUACCAUUCUAGAGAACAAUCUGGAACUAUGGCCAAAGGGCUCUAAAACUCUGCAUAUCCUUUGACCCAUCAGUGCCAUUAUUGGGUCUGUAUCCCAAAGAAAUCUUAAAGGAGGGAAAAGGACUCAUAUGUGCAAAAAUGUUUGUAGCAGUUCUUUUUGUGGUAGCAAAGAAUUAGAAAAUGAGUAGAUUCCAUUCCAGAUCAGAAAAACUCAGGAGCCUUGAGUCUCAGGCAAAUAACAGGGCAAGGAGAAAAAUGGACUUAGUCCUUUCAAGGGAAUUUACUGGUCCCUCGAAAGUAGAAGAGAAAGCUUCCAUUCAAAUAACUCUGUUGUUUUGGUUGUUUGUCCUUUAUUUGUCCUUAUUUUUGUCCUUAUUUUCAAAAAGGACUAAUGAUCCCACAGAGUGGUCUUGAUUCAUAGGUGAAUCGGAGGACCUUAUUCUACUCUCAGAGGGAAGCAUGCUCUAUUCCAAAUUGGUUAACCUACCCUGUAAGGCAUUUGGGAACUCUGACCAUUCUUAACAGAAUCCAAAGAAGUCUGAGUGGGUCCAACCAGGUUACUGGAAAACAGAAUUGAGGAAGCACAAUCUUCUCUACUUGCCAGGCUUUGCCUAUAUACAAAAUCAUUGUGUCCUGGAGGCAUAUAUAACUUAGAACAAGGGUCCUCAAACUUUUUAAAUAGGGGGCCAGUUCACUGUCCCUCGACUGUUGGAGGGUCAGACUAUAGUAAAAACAAAAAACUUUGUUUUGUGGGCCUUUAAAUAAAGAAACUUCAUAACCCUGGGUGAGGGGGAUAAACAUCCUCAGCUGCUGCAUCUGGCCCACAGUGUAGUUUGAUGACCCCUGAUUUAGAAGAUUCUUCUAGAAUACUAAAAUGCAUACCAAAGAACAGUCAGUGUUAUAGGUACUGCAGAAGUAAAAAAAAAACAUUUCACAAGGAACUUCAGAUUUUAUUCUUGAGUCAAAACUAUAUAGAAGGAGAGCAUUUUUCCAGUCAUUGAUAAAUUAACCAUAAACCAAAUCAUAGGGUUGCCAGUCAACCAAACCAGUCAGGUACAGAAAAUGGUUUUGUAGAGGUGAAGAGUAUUUUAAAGAUCACAAACUCCAACACCUCCAUUUUACAUUUUAGGAAACAUAUUUACAUAUUAGGGAAAAUAUUUACAUGUUUUAUAUAUUAGGAAGCAACCCAGUUUAUAGAUGGCAGAGCUAGACUUAAAUAUUGACCUGAUUUGCUGACUGAUUUUAUUUCCACUGAUUAACAUUGUCUUAAAAUUAAAAAAAAAAAGCCUUCACAUACUCCCACCAAAUCUUUCUAUUCUUUAGGAUCCUCUGGCUUCAUCACUUAUUAAUUACAGCAACUUAGUGUUGAACUGAGUUAGAACAGACCUUAGAAGAUGUCUGCUCCUAUUUAUAUGUAAGCACAGUUUUCUCUUUUUUAAAAAUUGUAAUUUAAUAUUUUCUCCCAUUUACAUUCAAAACAGUUUUUUUCACAUUUGUUUUUAAGAUUUUUGAGUUCUAGGUUCUUUCCCUUAUCCCACCCACAAUUAAACCAUAUGUGAAGUUAUUCAAAAUAUUUCUAUAAAAGUCAAGUUGUGAAAGAAAACAUAGAUCUCCCACCCUAAUGCAAAUAAAAACCCUCAAGAAAAAUUAAGUUAAAGAGAGGUGGAGAGAGAAAUAGAGAAUGCUUCGAUCUAUAUUUUGAUACAAUCAGUUCCUUCUCUGGGUAUGAUAGGAUUUUUCGUAAGUCCUUCAGAGGAAUCAUGGAUGAUUGUAUUAUUGAGAAUAACAAAGUCAUUUACAGCUGGCCAUCCCAGAACAUUGCUAUUACUUUAUAUACAGUAUAUUUCAUUUUGUUCAUGGAGGACUUUUAAGGUUUUUUUUUUUUUUCCUUGAGAGCAUCUUGCUUUUUAUUAUCCAGAGAACAACAACAUUCCAUCAGAAAAACUUGCUUCAAAAUUUUUCUUUUACAAUUACUAUUGCUAACAAUUCUCCUUUUUAAAUAAUUAAAAAAAUUAUAUGUGUGAUUAUAUUUUUUCAGUAAGAAACAAUCUGCCUCAUCUCUUUCUUCCUGUCUUCUUUUCUUCCCCACCUCUACUGCCUUUUAACUUUUACUUCAUCUCUUCCAAGAAUUCCAGUUAAAAUUGUGGCCACACUGUUUUACUCUGAGGUUUGUCUUGUAGAUGUUUUAUAAUUAUUUUCUUUUUCUGGAUUUGUAAUUUGAGCACUUUUACCUUGACUGAAAAAUGGGUCUGUGGGGUUUGUUUCAGUUUUAUUUUUGUUUGUUCUCAGGGAUGAUCUCCACCAGACUUGGGGAUUUUGAUUGUGGCAAUCUUGGAACUAGAAUUCCAGGAGAAAUGAGGAGGCUCUGUAGGAGCCGAGUUAAUCUAUGAAUGAACCUAAUCCCCUUUUCCCCUUCUUAGAGGCUGAGUUGGAACAAGAAGAUGCCCAUGUAAGCUGGCUUGAAUGAUUAUAACAUUUUGGCUAGUGCCUACAAUCCACUGGUACACAUUCACUACUACUUCUCUAAGUGCAUAUACUUAUCUUGUCCUGAUGGGUGAAUAUGUAAGAUAAGCAAUAGGCACUAAGUAUCAUUCAGAAUCACACCUUUUACUCACCUUCACUAGGGAGUUGAAGGUUUUGAGUACGGAAAUAAUGGUAUUUUUCGGAAGAUUAAUCUGGGAGUACAGAAUGGAGAGGCAAAGGAAGUGGAGGCAGUCAUUACAAAUAACUAUUCAAUUUGAUGCCAAAUUCACUGAAACCAGGUAUUGGGUGUGUAAAACUGACAUUGUCUCACUGUAUUUUUCACUUCUCACCCUUUGUUAAUAACAAUAACAAUAACAAAUCAACCAUACUUUAGUCUUACAUUAACUAAUCAUUGAUCUCAAACAGGAGUCAUUAACUAUGGGAGCAUAUUAAAACCUUUUUUAGUUCAAAUGAAAAAUAUUAAGAAAUAUAUAUUUUUCCAGCUUAAAAUCUUUUCUGAGGUCAUCUGUUUAGGAAAAUGCAAAAGAUAUUAAGAAUAAAAAAAUGAAGACCUGUAAUGAUGGUUGGGAAAGGGAUGAAGUCUGUUAAACUAAACAAAAAAAGGGCUUUUUAUCUUAUAUCUAGAGAAUUUUGCCUUCUUAUUCCUUGAAGGAAUUGGUGCAGCUGAGUGUCUUUUAUCUGUCCAUUCAAUCAUCUUGUUCUUUUGUUUCUGUCAUAACCAGGCCAUCUCUGUUUACAAGAUAAUUGUUAACAUAUGGGAUGCCAGGACAUUUGGGCAAAUUGAUCUUUCUCCUGGAUGGACAUGAUGCAUCUGAAAUAAAUAAUAGGAGCAGAGCCCAUGACCAGGGUGCAAUUUAGAAUACUUGCAGUCAAGAAAAAUAAACAGGGAAGAAUCAUGCCAGUAAGAGGAAGCAGAAACUAAGGCAUCCUAGAAAUGGAUUGGUUCAACACACAGGAAGAUGUAUCCAAAACAAAAGCCAAAUGGGGGACUUGUCAGAAAACAAGAGGGGUUCAGGAAGCUAAGAAAAAAUUAAACUGACUUUUAUGACAGAUUUAUGUUUGUUAGCCAUGUUACUAACAUACUCUUGACAUUGAAAUUCAGGCAUUCAAAUUCAAUUGAGGAAAACUUAUUAAAGAAGAAUCUUAAGGAAGCCUCUUAACAUUUCUGGCCAGAAGCUGGAGCGCUGCUGAGCAUGGAAGUGAAAGAAGAUUUAUACUGGGCGCAGCCCCUCCACUUUAGAGAAUGGAUCAGUCCAUUCCCUCCAGGUUAUAAAAUCUUUCGGAUACAAGGACUAUAAAUUUUCCCCUAAAUUUAUAUAAGUGUGUCCUGCCUCUUUCAUCAAAUAUCCUAUGUUCAAAAAUGGUGGAAAACUUCUAUGGGGUGUGUUAUUUAGUAUUCAAUUAGUCUAUUAAGCAGGGACAAUAGUGAUUUGGUCAAGUUAGGUCAUUGACCCCCUUCCCCCCCACCCCCAAUUAGUUUGAGCUGGAUAGGCUAUUAUGUUGAGGUUGGGGUUUUCUCAAAACCACAAGACUUCUGAUUGGCUGAGUCCACCAGACUUACAUAACAAGAUCCAAUAACGUUUCAACCCGACAUCAAUUGAGGGUGAUCCCAGCCCACACGUUUAAUUCCAAAUGGUGUUAUUCAAUGAAUGAUAAUUAGACAUAUUAUUUAAGAUCAAAUUUAACAUAUGAUUAGAUAUUAAGCUAAGUAAUUAUAAUCAAUUACAUUACAGGCAUAAUUAAUCAAUGAUCGAUAGACAUUAUUAUAUUACUAUUAACCUCAAUAGAUUGUUGCUGUUACCCCUCAUUGUCAAUGCUACAAUUCACUGAGUGAGCCAUUAAUAUAAGUAUUGAGAUUUGUGAGCCCCUACCACAUAUGUAUUUUGUUUUCCUACUCUAAUGGAAUAAAGUAAGCUUUUUGUUUAUAA